AGUGAACGCUGGCGGUAGGCCUAACACAUGCAAGUCGAACGGCAGCACAGUAAGAGCUUGCUCUUACGGGUGGCGAGUGGCGGACGGGUGAGGAAUACAUCGGAAUCUACUUUUUCGUGGGGGAUAACGUAGGGAAACUUACGCUAAUACCGCAUACGACCUACGGGUGAAAGCAGUGGAUCUUCGGACCUUUCGCGAUUGAAUGAGCCGAUGUCGGAUUAGCUAGUUGGCUGGGUAAAGGCCCACCAAGGCGACGAUCCGUAGCUGGUCUGAGAGGAUGAUCAGCCACACUGGAAGUGAGACACGGUCCAGACUCCUACGGGAGGCAGCAGUGGGGAAUAUUGGACAAGGGGCGCAAGCCUGAUCCAGCAAUACCGCGUGGGUGAAGAAGGCCUUCGGGUUGUAAAGCCCUUUUGUUGGGAAAGAAAAGCAGCAGGUUAAUACCCCGCUGUUCUGACGGUACCCAAAGAAUAAGCACCGGCUAACUUCGUG
rnacentral:rRNA from 1 species